rnacentral:rRNA from 1 species
GAGAUUGAUCAUGGCUCAGGAUGAACGCUAGCGACAGGCCUAACACAUGCAAGUCGAGGGGCAGCACAUGAGUAGCAAUACGGUGGUGGCGACCGGCGCACGGGUGAGUAACACGUAUGCAACCUGCCUUCUACUAUGGGAUAACCCGUUGAAAGACGGACUAAUACCGUAUAAUACAGGGGCUCCGCAUGGAGAUAUUUGUUAAAGAUUUAUUGGUAGAAGAUGGGCAUGCGUAUGAUUAGAUAGUUGGUGAGGUAACGGCUCACCAAGUCAACGAUCAUUAGGGGUUCUGAGAGGAAGGUCCCCCACACUGGUACUGAGACACGGACCAGACUCCUACGGGAGGCAGCAGUGAGGAAUAUUGGUCAAUGGACGAGAGUCUGAACCAGCCAAGUCGCGUGAAGGAAGACGGUUCUAUGAAUUGUAAACUUCUUUUGUGCAGGAAUAAAGUGGGUUACGUGUAACCUUUUGUAUGUACUGUACGAAUAAGGAUCGGCUAACUCCGUGCCAGCAGCCGCGGUAAUACGGAGGAUCCGAGCGUUAUCCGGAUUUAUUGGGUUUAAAGGGUGCGUAGGUGGAUUGAUAAGUCAGCGGUGAAAGUUUGCAGCUUAACUGUAAAAUUGCCGUUGAAACUGUCGGUCUUGAGUGCAAAUGAGGUAGGCGGAAUGUGUUGUGUAGCGGUGAAAUGCUUAGAUAUAACACAGAACUCCGAUUGCGAAGGCAGCUUACUGGGAUGCAACUGACACUGAUGCACGAAAGCGUGGGUAUCAAACAGGAUUAGAUACCCUGGUAGUCCACGCAGUAAACGAUGAAUACUAGCUGUAUGCGAUAUACCGUAUGUGGCACAGC